rnacentral:tRNA from 1 species
GUCCCGUUCGUCUAGUGGUUUAGGACACCGCCCUUUCACGGCGGCAACACCGGUUCAAAUCCGGUACGGGAUGCCA